rnacentral:lncRNA from 1 species
CGUGAGUUAGAUUCCUGUCCCCGGCAGUUAUGCCCCACGUGGAGAACAUGGACUCGGUCAACAAGCCUGGCUGUCGGUGACUCAGGACAUGCGGCCUCCGGUGGGUUACUGAACAGCGCGUGGCGGCUCAGCAGAUGAAGCGUAACAGCUCCCAUCAAACAGGAGGCUCUUCCGCGGGAAGCACGCGGGGGCCUGUAGUUUCUAGCAAGUCCCCAUCGUGGUGGAUCUCAAGGUGCGAACUUGGUUGGAAAUAGGGACUUUGUAGGUGUUAUGAUUUCAAGAUGAGGUCAUCCUGGAUUUAGGGUGGGCUCUAAAUCCAGUGAUUGGUGCCAGUGAUGAGGGGAAGAGGCCACGUGACGAUGGGGACCCGGAUUGGGGACUUCAGUGCACCUGAACUGCGACACAGCUGGUCAUUUGAGGCGGCUCUGGGACCCUGGUCCGGCAGCAGGGCAGAGUUGUCCUCGCCAGGGCACCCCGCAGUUCUGCUCAGGACUCGGGACUGCAGCGGAGAGCCACGUGCUUAUCGAUGGAUGUUUCUGGCCUGGGAGAGCUGGCGUUGUGGGGGACACGGAGCACCCACAGCUCUCCUCACCCCCAGCCCCUCGUCCACUCUGCUGUCCGGUACGGGCAUCCCAGGCAGACACCAAAGAGGAAACCCGAAGGCUAAGUCCGAAGGCACAGCCGGUGCCCAAGCUGGGGGAUACAGCAAGUCCCAGGAGUGGACAGAUCCUGGCUCGAGCCCCAGGGUCACCGUCCCCAGCUGUGUGAGCCUUGGUCUCUGUGCUUCAGGACCGGCUGCGCUGCGGAGAUCGCACAGUGCACAGCGGCCUCUAAGGAGGACUGGGGUCAGCCUUGGGACUCCUGCCUCGGAGCUCUUCCCACGCUGGGCACCCGCCACACCACUCCCCAGCCCCCUCCCCCUUCUCCCCAACCCUCUCUCUUGUUUUUUUAUUCAACACUGGGGAUUGAACCCAAGGCCUUCGCACCGAGCUACCUCCCCAGCACUUUUUAUUUUUCAUUUCAGACAGGGUCUCACCAAGUUCCAAAUUGCCCAGGUUGGGCUGGAACUUUGCAUCCUCCUGCCUCGGCCUCCAGAGUGCUGGAAUGACUGCUCCUCUCUCCCUUUACCAAUAAGAUCUCUUCCCAUUGCAAGCGCCGGGGUGGGCCAGGGAUUUAGCCCAUUGGUUCUAGCACCUGACUCUCGCUUCACCUUCAAGAGGUGGAGGCCUUGUCCUACUCUGGGGCCCCUGCAGGGACACCUCCCUUCCCCUUCGGGUCCCUCAGAGCCAGCCCCCUCUGCUCCUGUUUCUCUCCAGGCUGGCCUCCCCUUCCCUCACUGGCCCCUCCUCCCCCUGAGGGCCCCUCAGCCCCUCCUUCAGCCCCAAGGCCCUGACCUGCCCUCCCCUGCACCUAGGCCUCUGCCCCGUGGGUCCUGCUCCUGA